rnacentral:rRNA from 1 species
AUUGAACGCUGGCGGCAUGCUUUACACAUGCAAGUCGAACGGCAGCGCGGGCUUCGGCCUGGCGGCGAGUGGCGAACGGGUGAGUAAUGCAUCGGAACGUGCCCAGUAGUGGGGGAUAGCCCGGCGAAAGCCGGAUUAAUACCGCAUACGACCUGAGGGUGAAAGCGGGGGACCGAAAGGCCUCGCGCUAUUGGAGCGGCCGAUGUCGGAUUAGCUAGUUGGUGGGGUAAAGGCUUACCAAGGCGACGAUCCGUAGCUGGUCUGAGAGGACGACCAGCCACACUGGGACUGAGACACGGACCAGACUCCUACGGGAGGCAGCAGUGGGGAAUUUUGGACAAUGGGGGCAACCCUGAUCCAGCCAUGCCGCGUGCGGGAAGAAGGCCUUCGGGUUGUAAACCGCUUUUGUUCGGGAAGAAAUCCUCUGGGCUAAUACCCCGGGGGGAUGACGGUACCGGAAGAAUAAGCACCGGCUAACUACGUG